UACGUAGGGGGCAAGCGUUGUCCGGAAUCAUUGGGCGUAAAGCGCGCGUAGGCGGCCCGGUAAGUCCGCUCUGAAAGUCCAGGGCUUAACCCUGGAAAGCGGGUGGAUACUGCCGGGCUUGAAUCCGGAAGAGGAGAGUGGAAUUCCUGGUGUAGCGGUGAAAUGCGCAGAUAUCAGGAAGAACACCCGUGGCGAAGGCGGCUCUCUGGGACGGUACUGACGCUGAGACGCGAAAGCGUGGGGAGCGAACAGG
rnacentral:rRNA from 1 species